rnacentral:rRNA from 1 species
GAUGAACGCUGGCGGCGUGCCUAAUACAUGCCAGUCGAGCGAACGGACGAGAAGCUUGCUUCUCUGAUGUUAGCGGCGGACGGGUGAGUAACACGUGGAUAACCUACCUAUAAGACUGGGAUAACUUCGGGAAACCGGAGCUAAUACCGGAUAAUAUUUUGAACCGCAUGGUUCAAAAGUGAAAGACGGUCUUGCUGUCACUUAUAGAUGGAUCCGCGCUGCAUUAGCUAGUUGGUAAGGUAACGGUUUACCAAGGCAACGAUGCAUAGCCGACCUGAGAGGGUGAUCGGCCACACUGGAACUGAGACACGGUCCAGACUCCUACGGGAGGCAGCAGUAGGGAAUCUUCCGCAAUGGGCGAAAGCCUGACGGAGCAACGCCGCGUGAGUGAUGAAGGUCUUCGGAUCGUAAAACUCUGUUAUUAGGGAAGAACAUAUGUGUAAGUAACUGUGCACAUCUUGACGGUACCUAAUCAGAAAGCCACGGCUAACUACGUG